UGCAAGUCGAACGAGAUCCUUCGGGGUCUAGUGGCGCACGGGUGCGUAACGCGUGGGAAUCUGCCCUUAGGUUCGGAAUAACAGUUAGAAAUGACUGCUAAUACCGGAUGAUGACGUUAAGUCCAAAGAUUUAUCGCCUGAGGAUGAGCCCGCGUAGGAUUAGCUAGUUGGUGUGGUAAAGGCGCACCAAGGCGACAAUCCUUAGCUGGUCUGAGAGGAUGAUCAGCCACACUGGGACUGAGACACGGCCCAAACUCCUACGGGAGGCAGCAGUGGGGAAUAUUGGACAAUGGGCGCAAGCCUGAUCCAGCAAUGCCGCGUGAGUGAUGAAGGCCUUAGGGUUGUAAAGCUCUUUUACCCGGGAUGAUAAUGACAGUACCGGGAGAAUAAGCCCCGGCUAACUCCGUGCCAGCAGCCGCGGUAAUACGGAGGGGGCUAGCGUUGUUCGGAAUUACUGGGCGUAAAGCGCACGUAGGCGGCUUUGUAAGUUAGAGGUGAAAGCCUGGAGCUCAACUCCAGAACUGCCUUUAAGACUGCAUCGCUUGAAUCCAGGAGAGGUGAGUGGAAUUCCGAGUGUAGAGGUGAAAUUCGUAGAUAUUCGGAAGAACACCAGUGGCGAAGGCGGCUCACU
rnacentral:rRNA from 1 species